rnacentral:rRNA from 1 species
GAUGAACGCUGGCGGCGUGCCUAAUACAUGCAAGUCGAACGCACAGCGAAAGGUGCUUGCACCUUUCAAGUGAGUGGCGAACGGGUGAGUAACACGUGGACAACCUGCCUCAAGGCUGGGGAUAACAUUUGGAAACAGAUGCUAAUACCGAAUAAAACUUAGUGUCGCAUGACAAAAAGUUAAAAGGCGCUUCGGCGUCACCUAGAGAUGGAUCCGCGGUGCAUUAGUUAGUUGGUGGGGUAAAGGCCUACCAAGACAAUGAUGCAUAGCCGAGUUGAGAGACUGAUCGGCCACAUUGGGACUGAGACAA